rnacentral:rRNA from 1 species
AUUGAACGCUGGCGGCAGGCCUAACACAUGCAAGUCGAGCGGCAGCGGAAAGUAGCUUGCUACUUUGCCGGCGAGCGGCGGACGGGUGAGUAAUGUCUGGGAAACUGCCUGAUGGAGGGGGAUAACUACUGGAAACGGUAGCUAAUACCGCAUAACGUCGCAAGACCAAAGAGGGGGACCUUCGGGCCUCUUGCCAUAAGAUGUGCCCAGAUGGGAUUAGCUAGUAGGUGGGGUAACGGCUCACCUAGGCGACGAUCCCUAGCUGGUCUGAGAGGAUGACCAGCCACACUGGAACUGAGACACGGUCCAGACUCCUACGGGAGGCAGCAGUGGGGAAUAUUGCACAAUGGGCGCAAGCCUGAUGCAGCCAUGCCGCGUGUAUGAAGAAGGCCUUCGGGUUGUAAAGUACUUUCAGCGGGGAGGAAGGUGUUGUGGUUAAUAACCACAGCAAUUGACGUUACCCGCAGAAGAAGCACCGGCUAACUCCGUGCCAGCCGCCGCGGUAA